UAGGGAAUCUUCGGCAAUGGACGAAAGUCUGACCGAGCAACGCCGCGUGAGUGAAGAAGGUUUUCGGAUCGUAAAGCUCUGUUGUUAAAGAAGAACACGUAUGAGAGUAACUGUUCAUACGUUGACGGUAUUUAACCAGAAAGUCACGGCUAACUACGUGCUAG
rnacentral:rRNA from 1 species